GGCCUCGUAGCUCAGUGGAUAGAGCAGCUCUUUUGCGAAGGGCCGAUCAUGGGUUCGAGUCCCAUCGGGGCCGCCG
rnacentral:tRNA from 1 species